CCUACCACUGCAUUCAAAAGAGAUUCUCUGAAAAGGUGUCCUAUUUAUGAAGAAAUGGAUAGCUUUUACUUGAGAGAGUUUUUUUUCUUGCCUUUUCCAACUUUUAAUUGCAGAUGAAGUAAAAGCACUGGCCAUCACCAAGACCAAUCGAGAGGCUUUAGUAGACUUUUGUCCUGAUUUGGUAAGACUCAAAGUGGCAAUGUUAAAACCUGUAAAAUACCUCCUUGUUCAAGAUGGAAGAAGUCUAUUAUUGUUGAGACAAUAGGGACAAUGGGCUAAACUUUUCUGAGCUGCAGCUUGCCAAAGACACAUCCCAGGAUGAUUUCAAAGUACGUUUGAGAAACGCAGUUCCAGAUGUGUCUGAAGCCAGUGUGAAAUUGGUGGAUUCAAGAAGGCUUACUGGAAAACCUUAGCAGUAAACAGAAC